AGUUCUGGCAAACCUUCGGUACAACAGUGGAAACGGCUGCUAAUCCCGUAUGUGCCUGUGGGUGAAAGAUUAAUCCCCUUUUGAUGAGCUCGCGUCUUAUUAGCUAGUUGGCGUGGUAAGAGCGCCCCAAGGCGGCGAUCAGUAGCUGGUCUGCGAGGAUGCCCAGCCCCACUGGGACUGAGACAGGGCCCAGACUCCUCCGGGAGGCAGCAGUGGGGACUUUUCCGCAAUGGGCGAAAGCCUGACGGAGCAAUACCGCGUUAGGGAGGAAGGCUUUUGGGUUGUAAACCUCUUUUUUCAGGGAAUAAGAAAGUGAAGGUACCUGAGGAAUCAGCAUCGCCUAACUCCGCCCCAGCAGCCGCGGUAAUAAGGAGGAUGCAAUCGUUAUCCGGAAUGAUUGGGCGUAAAGCGUCGGCAGGUGGUUGUCAAGUCUGCUGUCAAAGAGUCUGGCUCAACCAAAUAAAGGGAGGGAAACUGAGAGACUAGAGUGCGGUAGGGGCAGAGGGAAUUCCUGGGUAGCGGUGAAAUGCGUGGAGAUCAGGAAGACCACCGGUGGGAAAGCGCUCUGGUGGCCCGCAACUGACACUGAGGGACGAAAGCUAGGGGAGCGAAAGGGAUUAGAUACCCCUGUAGUC
rnacentral:rRNA from 1 species